GGGUUGUGAGGUUAAGCGACUAAGCGUACACGGUGGAUGCCCUGGCAGUCAGAGGCGAUGAAGGACGUGCUAAUCUGCGAAAAGCGUCGGUAAGGUGAUAUGAACCGUUAUAACCGGCGAUGUCCGAAUGGGGAAACCCAGUGCAAUUCGUUGCACUAUCGUUAACUGAAUACAUAGGUUAACGAGGCGAACCGGGGGAACUGAAACAUCUAAGUACCCCGAGGAAAAGAAAUCAACCGAGAUUCCCCCAGUAGCGGCGAGCGAACGGGGAGCAGCCCAGAGUCUGAAUCAGCUUGUGUGUUAGUGGAACGGUCUGGAAAGUCCGACGGUACAGGGUGAUAGUCCCGUACACCAAAAUGCACAGGUUGUGAACUCGAAGAGUAGGGCGGGACACGUGGUAUCCUGUCUGAAUAUGGGGGGACCAUCCUCCAAGGCUAAAUACUCCUGACUGACCGAUAGUGAACCAGUACCGUGAGGGAAAGGCGAAAAGAACCCCGGCGAGGGGAGUGAAAAAGAACCUGAAACCGUGUACGUACAAGCAGUGGGAGCACCUUCGGGUGUGACUGCGUACCUUUUGUAUAAUGGGUCAGCGACUUAUAUUCUGUAGCAAGGUUAACCGUAUAGGGGAGCCGCAGGGAAACCGAGUCUUAACUGGGCGUUAAGUUGCAGGGUAUAGACCCGAAACCCGGUGAUCUAGCCAUGGGCAGGUUGAAGGUUGGGUAACACUAACUGGAGGACCGAACCGACUAAUGUUGAAAAAUUAGCGGAUGACUUGUGGCUGGGGGUGAAAGGCCAAUCAAACCGGGAGAUAGCUGGUUCUCCCCGAAAGCUAUUUAGGUAGCGCCUCGUGAACUCAUCUUCGGGGGUAGAGCACUGUUUCGGCUAGGGGGUCAUCCCGACUUACCAACCCGAUGCAAACUACGAAUACCGAAGAAUGUUAUCACGGGAGACACACGGCGGGUGCUAACGUCCGUCGUGAAGAGGGAAACAACCCAGACCGCCAGCUAAGGUCCCAAAGUCAUGGUUAAGUGGGAAACGAUGUGGGAAGGCACAGACAGCCAGGAUGUUGGCUUAGAAGCAGCCAUCAUUUAAAGAAAGCGUAAUAGCUCACUGGUCGAGUCGGCCUGCGCGGAAGAUGUAACGGGGCUAAACCAUGCACCGAAGCUGCGGCAGCGACACUAUGUGUUGUUGGGUAGGGGAGCGUUCUGUAAGCCUGCGAAGGUGACCUGUGAGGGUUGCUGGAGGUAUCAGAAGUGCGAAUGCUGACAUAAGUAACGAUAAAGCGGGUGAAAAGCCCGCUCGCCGGAAGACCAAGGGUUCCUGUCCAACGUUAAUCGGGGCAGGGUGAGUCGACCCCUAAGGCGAGGCCGAAAGGCGUAGUCGAUGGGAAACAGGUUAAUAUUCCUGUACUUGGUGUUACUGCGAAGGGGGGACGGAGAAGGCUAUGUUAGCCGGGCGACGGUUGUCCCGGUUUAAGCAUGUAGGCUGGUUGUCCAGGCAAAUCCGGAUAAUCAAGGCUGAGGUGUGAUGACGAGGCACUACGGUGCUGAAGUAACAAAUGCCCUGCUUCCAGGAAAAGCCUCUAAGCAUCAGGUAACAUUAAAUCGUACCCCAAACCGACACAGGUGGUCAGGUAGAGAAUACCAAGGCGCUUGAGAGAACUCGGGUGAAGGAACUAGGCAAAAUGGUGCCGUAACUUCGGGAGAAGGCACGCUGGUGUGUAGGUGAAGUCCCUGCGGAUGGAGCUGAGACCAGUCGAAGAUACCAGCUGGCUGCAACUGUUUAUUAAAAACACAGCACUGUGCAAACACGAAAGUGGACGUAUACGGUGUGACGCCUGCCCGGUGCCGGAAGGUUAAUUGAUGGGGUUAUCCGUAAGGAGAAGCUCUUGAUCGAAGCCCCGGUAAACGGCGGCCGUAACUAUAACGGUCCUAAGGUAGCGAAAUUCCUUGUCGGGUAAGUUCCGACCUGCACGAAUGGCGUAAUGAUGGCCAGGCUGUCUCCACCCGAGACUCAGUGAAAUUGAACUCGCUGUGAAGAUGCAGUGUACCCGCGGCAAGACGGAAAGACCCCGUGAACCUUUACUAUAGCUUGACACUGAACAUUGAGCCUUGAUGUGUAGGAUAGGUGGGAGGCUUUGAAGCGUGGACGCCAGUCUGCGUGGAGCCAACCUUGAAAUACCACCCUUUAAUGUUUGAUGUUCUAACGUUGGCCCCUGACCGGGGUUGCGGACAGUGUCUGGUGGGUAGUUUGACUGGGGCGGUCUCCUCCCAAAGCGUAACGGAGGAGCACGAAGGUUAGCUAAUCCUGGUCGGACAUCAGGAGGUUAGUGCAAUGGCAUAAGCUAGCUUGACUGCGAGCGUGACGGCGCGAGCAGGUGCGAAAGCAGGUCAUAGUGAUCCGGUGGUUCUGAAUGGAAGGGCCAUCGCUCAACGGAUAAAAGGUACUCCGGGGAUAACAGGCUGAUACCGCCCAAGAGUUCAUAUCGACGGCGGUGUUUGGCACCUCGAUGUCGGCUCAUCACAUCCUGGGGCUGAAGUAGGUCCCAAGGGUAUGGCUGUUCGCCAUUUAAAGUGGUACGCGAGCUGGGUUUAGAACGUCGUGAGACAGUUCGGUCCCUAUCUGCCGUGGGCGCUGGAGAAUUGAGGGGGGCUGCUCCUAGUACGAGAGGACCGGAGUGGACGCAUCACUGGUGUUCGGGUUGUCAUGCCAAUGGCACUGCCCGGUAGCUAAAUGCGGAAGAGAUAAGUGCUGAAAGCAUCUAAGCACGAAACUUGCCCCGAGAUGAGUUCUCCCUGAGACUUUAAGUCUCCUGAAGGAACGUUAAAGACGAUGACGUUGAUAGGCCGGGUGUGUAAGCGCAGCGAUGCGUUGAGCUAACCGGUACUAAUGAACCGUGAGGCUUAACCUUACAACGCCGAAG
rnacentral:rRNA from 2 species